ACCUGGGUGGCUCAAUCAGUUAAGCAUCUGACUUUGGCUCAGAUCAUUAUCUCACAAGGUUCGUGGGUUUGAGCCCACAUCAGGUU
rnacentral:tRNA from 1 species